GACGAACGCUGGCGGCGUGCCUAAUACAUGCAAGUCGAACGAGAGCGACCGGUGCUUGCACUGGUCAAUCUAGUGGCGAACGGGUGAGUAACACGUGGGUAACCUGCCCAUCAGAGGGGGAUAACAUCCGGAAACGGAUGCUAAAACCGCAUAGGUCUUCGAGCCGCAUGGCUUGAAGAGGAAAAGAGGCGCAGGCUUCUGCUGAUGGAUGGACCCGCGGUGCAUUAGCUAGUUGGUGAGGUAACGGCUCACCAAGGCCGUGAUGCAUAGCCGACCUGAGAGGGUGAUCGGCCACAUUGGGACUGAGACACGGCCCAAACUCCUACGGGAGGCAGCAGUAGGGAAUCUUCCGCAAUGGACGCAAGUCUGACGGAGCAACGCCGCGUGAGUGAAGAAGGUUUUCGGAUCGUAAAACUCUGUUGUUAGAGAAGAACAAGUGCUAGAGUAACUGUUAGCGCCUUGACGGUAUCUAACCAGAAAGCCACGGCUAACUACGUG
rnacentral:rRNA from 1 species